GACGUGCUAAUCUGCGAUAAGCGUCGGUAAGGUGAUAUGAACCGUUAUAACCGGCGAUUUCCGAAUGGGGAAACCCAGUGUGAUUCGUCACACUAUCAUUAACUGAAUCCAUAGGUUAAUGAGGCGAACCGGGGGAACUGAAACAUCUAAGUACCCCGAGGAAAAGAAAUCAACCGAGAUUCCCCCAGUAGCGGCGAGCGAACGGGGAGCAGCCCAGAGCCUGAAUCAGUGUGUGUGUUAGUGGAAGCGUCUGGAAAGGCGUGCGAUACAGGGUGACAGCCCCGUACACAAAAAUGCACAUACUGUGAGCUCGAUGAGUAGGGCGGGACACGUGGUAUCCUGUCUGAAUAUGGGGGGACCAUCCUCCAAGGCUAAAUACUCCUGACUGACCGAUAGUGAACCAGUACCGUGAGGGAAAGGCGAAAAGAACCCCGGCGAGGGGAGUGAAAAAGAACCUGAAACCGUGUACGUACAAGCAGUGGGAGCACGCUUAGGCGUGUGACUGCGUACCUUUUGUAU
rnacentral:rRNA from 1 species